GUCUUUUUCCAGAGGGGAGAAAAGCAACUAGCCCUUAGCAGAGCAGUGAGUGCAACCCAUUGGCCGGAGCCUUGUACCAAAAAGAGCCUGAGCAAUGCAGCCCUGAAGCUCCCAAGCUUUGCAAGACAUUGAGAGCAUGACACGUAUGUGGAGAGAGGUCAUGCUGACUACACCUGAUGGUAUUCACUGCUACUCCUUUCCGUCAGCUGCUUGCUAAGUCAAGUCACGUCGGGUGAUCCCAGAAAUGCCG
rnacentral:lncRNA from 1 species